rnacentral:rRNA from 1 species
GCUACUACCGAUUGGGUGUACCAGUGAGAUCCUUGGACUGGCGAACCUUACAAUUGUGUAAUGCAGGCGUAAGCGUGAACGACGGAAGAGGCUCGAACUGGUGCACUUAGAGGAAGUAAAAGUCGUAACAAGGUUUCCGUAGGUG